rnacentral:rRNA from 1 species
UACGGAGGGUGCAAGCGUUAUCCGGAUUCACUGGGUUUAAAGGGUGCGUAGGAGGGCAGGUAAGUCAGUGGUGAAAUCCCCGAGCUUAACUUGGGAACUGCCAUUGAUACUAUCUGUCUUGAAUAUUGUGGAGGUGAGCGGAAUAUGUCAUGUAGCGGUGAAAUGCUUAGAUAUGACAUAGAACACCAAUUGCGAAGGCAGCUCGCUACACAUAUAUUGACACUGAUGCACGAAAGCGUGGGGAUCAAACAGG